rnacentral:tRNA from 1 species
CGUACUGAAGACUGAGUGGUCGGUCAGCAGCCUUCCAAGCUGUCGCUCCGAAAGGGGCUGGGGUUCGACUCCCCCUGUACGC